rnacentral:rRNA from 1 species
GCUUACGGCCACACCGGCCUGAGUACGCCUGAUCUCGUCCGAUCUCGGAAUCUAAGCAGGGUCGGGCCUGGUUAGUACUUGGAUGGGAGACCGCCUGGGAAUACCAGGUGCUGUAAGCU